UCACUUUCAAGUGUGUGGAGAAGGGAGCUAAUUCUAUGAAUUUUGAGAUUUGCUUUAGCAUGGUAAUAAGGUUGUUUGAUAAUGAUGCCGGCAUCUUGAAUGCUAGAGUGAUGCCUUAACUAUCUAAUUCAAAUUAACACUAAAUGUAGUUUACCAGAAAUAACUGACACACUAACGAUCAAGAAAAGUUUUGUCAAUGUUCGGACUUCGGACUAGUUGACUAGUAGGUUUCCAACGGACAAUGCUGCUUUGGCAUACAUCCAAGGAGAUAAGAGCAUAAGCUAUGGAAUCUAAUAAGCUGAAUGCUGAAUCAUAGGUUUCUAAACUUAUCUGAGAGUUGACUCAACCUGAUAAGGCAUCAAAUUCAUGCGAUGCGACCUUGGAAAGGCAUUUCAGAUUCUGGGUUCUGAUGUUCAGUAAACGGUGCAUCUGCAGACUUUUGUUGAUGUGUUAGUUGGGAAGCCCCCUUCCAAAUACGCAUUGAAUGGUAGAUGGAAGCGUGACCUAGCUAGUUGACCAUUGGUGAAUUAUAUAGACGUCUAUGAGCAAAAAGUAGUCUUGUUUCUGUCGAGAACCUUGCAGUGGUGGUUCUGUUAUCAGUCAUGGAUCCGACUCCUCCCCCAGAAUCGCCACUGCUGCCACCGGCACCACCUCCACCCCCUGGGGGAGGUCUUCUGGAAUCAUGCUUGUGGUUUCUUUGCUGCUGUGGCCUGUUCACAAGCUGCUGCCCUCCACUGUUUGAGGCCAGGCCUCCACCGCCAUAAAAGAUGCAUUCCUCAGUUCACUUAUUCUGUUUGUGCCUGCGAAUGUGUGUGUUUCUUUGGAUCUUGGGAGUCAAUGUUGAUUUGACUAAUUCAGCUUCCUUUUUCCUUUGAAGUUAUGUUGACAGAUUUGGAGGUGUUGUGAAGUACAUAGACUUCUCUACUUCUCUCUUCUUUUCCUUUUCCCCCCUUUGCCAUGCCAUGUACUUGCUGUUAUUGUGAGACAUUAUUUGUGGAGCUGUUUUUCCUCCAAUGUUGUUCCAUGUUGCAAAUUAUGACUUCCAAUUUAUAUAUGUCAACAGUAUAGUCUUUUUAACUUCCAA